GUGCUCGCUUUGGCAACACAUAUACUAAAAUUGGAACGAUACGGAGAAGAUUAGCAUGGCCCCUGCGCAAGGAUGACACGCACAUUCGGGAAGCGUUCCAUAUUUUU
rnacentral:snRNA from 1 species